CUUUGUGACAUCUCUGCUGGAGGAGGUGACCAUCAGGAGGACUCACACCAAUGUGACAAUUGGGGAAGCUGCUCGGAGCUUCAGGUCCAUGAAUGGGAAGUAUUUGGCCAGAAGGGGAUUCUUGUGCAAGUCCAGCAUGCGGAUGUUUGCCUUCACUGUCUUCCCAAUCUCCGCCUGCAUCGUGCAGACAGAGGCUCAGGGAUGGCCUCUGAGAGACCAAUCUCACCAUCUAUGGUGCCCCAUGACUUUCUGAGAUACUAAUAGCAUCACCAACCUCAACCCACAGACCUGGGAAUCAGGGAUGAGUCACCCAGGUUUACCUCUGGACUAUCAGCCAGUCAGCAAAUGAAAAUUGAUGAAGCGCUUAUUCCAAGGGGAUCCCGACCACAACCCUCUGGAAGCCCAGCUUCAGUCACCUCAGAUAUUUGGAGUAAUAAAAUUUCGCUAUUGACGUGAAAGAUAAAACGAGAUCUAUUCCUUUUCCUUUUUUGCAAUGGUGCUU
rnacentral:lncRNA from 1 species